AAGGGGGGUAUUUAUUAGAUAAAAAACCAAUGCCCUUCGGGGCUCCUUGGUGAUUCAUAAUAACUUCUCAGAUCGCAUGGCCUUGCGCCGGCGACGGUUCAUUCAAAUUUCUGCCCUAUCAACUUUCGAUGGUAAGGUAUUGGCUUACCAUGGUUUCAACGGGUAACGGGGAAUUAGGGUUCGAUUCCGGAGAGGGAGCCUGAGAAACGGCUACCACAUCCAAGGAAGGCAGCAGGCGCGCAAAUUACCCAAUCCCGACACGGGGAGGUAGUGACAAUAAAUACUGAUACAGGGCUCUUUUGGGUCUUGUAAUUGGAAUGAGUACAAUUUAAACCUCUUAACGAGGAACAAUUGGAGGGCAAGUCUGGUGCCAGCAGCCGCGGUAAUUCCAGCUCCAAUAGCGUAUAUUAAAGUUGUUGCAGUUAAAAAGCUCGUAGUUGAACCUUUGGCCUGGCUGGCAGGUCCGCCUCACCGCGUGCACUUGUCCGGCC
rnacentral:rRNA from 1 species